GCAAACUUGGUCAUUUAGAGGAAGUAAAAGUCGUAACAAGGUUUCCGUAGGUGAACCUGCGGAAGGAUCAUUAACGAGAAAACUGCCCUUUGGGGUAGAUCUCCCACCCUUUGUUUAUAUUACUUUUGUUGCUUUGGCAGGCCCGUCUUACUGACCGCCGGCUUUGGCUGGUCUGUGUCUGCCAGAGGACCCCAUACUCUUGAUAUCAUGUUGUCCGAGUCCUAUAUAAAUAGUAAAAACUUUCAACAACGGAUCUCUUGGUUCUGGCAUCGAUGAAGAACGCAGC
rnacentral:misc_RNA from 1 species